GCAGUCUACGGGAAAGUCCUCUUCGGAGGGCGAGUACAGUGGCGAACGGGUGAGUAACACGAUGGGUAACCUGCCCCCGAGAUCGGGAUAACAUUGCGAAAGCGAUGCUAAUACCGGAUAAGACCACGCUGUCCUCGGGCAGCGCGGUAAAAGGUGGCCUCUUCUUGAAAGCUAUCACUUGGGGAUGGGCCCGCGGCCUAUUAGCUAGUUGGUGAGGUAACGGCUCACCAAGGCGACGAUGGGUAGCCGGCCUGAGAGGGUGAACGGUCACACUGGCACUGAGACACGGGCCAGACUCCUACGGGAGGCAGCAGUGGGGAAUUUUGCGCAAUGGGGGAAACCCUGACGCAGCAACGCCGCGUGAGUGAUGAAGGCCUUCGGGUCGUAAAGCUCUUUUAGUGGGGAAGAAACAUCCAGUGGCUAAUAUCCACCGGACUUGACGGUACCCACAGAAAAAGUUCCGGCUAACUACGUGCCAGCAGCCGCGGUAAUACGUAGGGAGCAAGCGUUGUUCGGAAUCAUUGGGCGUAAAGAGCGCGUAGGCGGUUUGGCAAGUCUGGUGUGAAAUCUCACAGCUCAACUGUGAAACUGCAUCAGAAACUGCCAGGCUAGAGUGCGGGAGAGGAGAGUGGAAUUCCCAGUGUAGAGGUGAAAUUCGUAGAUAUUGGGAAGAACACCGGUGGCGAAGGCGGCUCUCUGGACCGCAACUGACGCUGAGGCGCGAAAGCUAGGG
rnacentral:rRNA from 1 species